rnacentral:rRNA from 1 species
ACGUUAGCGGCGGACGGGUGAGUAACACGUGGGUAACCUACCUAUAAGACUGGGAUAACUUCGGGAAACCGGAGCUAAUACCGGAUAAUAUUUCGAACCGCAUGGUUCGAUAGUGAAAGAUGGUUUUGCUAUCACUUAUAGAUGGACCCGCGCCGUAUUAGCUAGUUGGUAAGGUAACGGCUUACCAAGGCACGAUACGUAGCCGACCUGAGAGGGUGAUCGGCCACACUGGAACUGAGACACGGUCCAGACUCCUACGGGAGGCAGCAGGU